rnacentral:lncRNA from 1 species
CAAGGAGCUCCCCGUCCAGUGCGGGGAGGCAGAUGGGUAUGCAGAAAACCAGAACAUCGUGAGAUUAGCACGGCUGUCUAAACAGGGCCUGGCACACAGUGGGCACUCAGUAAGUGUUUAUGGAAUUAACAAAUACAUUAAAAGAUAUCAUGGAAUCACAGAUGGAGGAUGGGGGAAGCUUCUAGAAAGUAAUAUGGGAGCUGAGGUUCAGAGGGCUGGGUAGGAGGGAACCAGCCAAGGGAGGAGCGAUGUCCUGGAACCAGCGUGCAGCUGGCCUCUUUUACAAGGCUUCCAGGCCCUUCAACACUGGCCUGUGACUCAUUCCUCUUUGUGCUCCUCCGGGUGCCUAGGGUGCCUAACAAUAGGCUCUGUACAGGGCAGGUGCCAACCUCCCGGAAAUGAAACUGUUAAAUAUCCUGCUUUCAAAACAAAACAACCACUCAGCAUCACAGGCAUAAAACUAACUGGGGUCAUUUGGGUCACCCAAGCCCUUCCUCCAGUUCACAGUGACAUGUCUCACAAUGAUGCCAUCCUUGGUGAGCUUGGCAUGGUUUUCAAAGUCCUUGCAGUGCUCUGUGUAGAGCUGGCAAACACAAAUUAAUUCAGUCCAUCUGCUUUGGUCCUCAUCCACCUGUUUCAGAGCACGUCUCUCAUUACCUUAAUCAAGAUAAUAUAUUCUUAGCAGCGAGGGACCAUGGAGACAGGGUUCCCCGGAUAUUCAUCUGAAACUGGUAAAUCUUUCCAAGCGCCGUAGGUGCUGAAAGGUCUGCUCUCAAAAACAAAGAAUGUACCACAGCUGUGACGGAAAGCAUCCAGCGUCCUCAGAAGGUGAGAGUACAAUACAGGCACCCUGUGGGGACCUAGCUUAUAAAGCAGGAUCUAGCCUCCCAUCCCUCUCUCGUGACCAUCAAGGUCAAGGUCAAGGUUAGAAGGCCCCUGAGCCGUUUUCUUUUGGAGGGAGGUGGUAGCCAAGACCAGCUGCUCAGAAACCGAGGGGAGUUGCAGGACAACCAGGUGGUCAUCUGCCCAAAUAUAGAAAGAAAACCUCUACCCAGAUUCUGCUUCCAGAAGGGAUUCACAUUUCGCACUUGUAAA